CCACAAAAAAACCCCAAUAUGCUUAAGAAUUAUGAGAAAAGGAAAUAUGGCUGAAAAGAUGUGAAUAGCCAUAACUGACAUGCUGAAUAUUUUUUAAGUUAACAGGACUGGAGGAGUCAGGAAAUUAUUCAUCUACUACACUUGGUAUUGCUUAUAUUCUUAAACCAUUUAUUUCCAGGUUUUUAUAACCUAGAUAUGUCCUUAUCAAAUCAGUCAUUAACAAGAUAUUACACUGGGUGCUUUUCAUCUAAAUAGCAUGAUUCCAUACAAAAUUCAGCCAUCUCAAAUUUAUUCUGUGCACAACAGUAUUAUCACAAAGCAUUAGUUUCCUGUUUUCUUUACUGCCUCAUUCAUCACACUUGGGAGUAGGCUAGUUCUAUAACUUCUAACGUAAAUAAGAAUCUGUUCUAUUAUUUUAAUGAUUACAUAUGAAGAUUACAGUAAAUAUGGAAUUUCUACAGCAAAAAAAAGUGGCUUCCAAAAGAGAAAAAGAAACGUCAAAGGUCUACAGAAUUAAGCUUUUAAUUAUGUAUGUAUGCAUAUAUACCUAUGUUUGUAUUUACUUAACUGUAAUCUUUUUCUAGUCAAUGACUGCAAAGUGGUAUCUCAAUACAGUCCCUUACCAUGGUUUGAUUCACAAAUUUUCAACUUUAUAAUGAGGCAAAAGCAAUGUGCAUUCAGCAGAAACCGUACUUCCAAUUUUGAUUUAGGAUUUUCUUCUGGGCUAGUGAUAUGUGAUAAUGAAAUCCACGAAAUCACCAGCAUCAACAACCAAUACAUGUAUAGCUAUUCUGCACCAAUACAACUAUUCUGUUUUCACCUUCAAUACAGUAUUCAAUAAAUUAGGUGAGAUAUUUGUUAUAAACUAGGCUUUGUUUUAGAUGAUCUUGCCCAACUAUAGGCUAAUGUAAGUGUUCUAAGCACGUUUAAGGUAGGCUAGACUAAGCUAUGAUGUUCUUUAGGUUAGGUAUAUUAAAUGCAUUAGCAACUUAACAAUAUUUUCAACUUCUGAUGGGUUUGUUGUGGCAUAACCCCAUCAUAAAGUGAGGAAGAACUGUAUACACUCAUAGAAUUAUAAGUAGAAAGGCUUUUUCAAGGCUCACUCUGUUCACCACACGUCUCUAGGAACUUCCGAUUAGGUCAUUCUAUAUACUGCUUGUUUUUAGUACCAGGAAGUAUUAUGGAAGAUGAUUUUAAAAGUUUUACCAUAUGUUUUUAAUUUACCAAUGCCAGUUUUGUUUCUCUAAUUUUGCUUUUAUUCCCAGUUUGCUGCAUUUCCUCUUAGAACUGUGGGUAGGGCAAGCAGUUAAAAAUGUGGUUCCUCAUGAAGAAAGGGGAGGUAUAAUGCGACACCAAACACCAAAAUCAAAAUACUUUUUAAGUGGAGUAAGGGAAGAAGGAGAUACACAGAAGAAGUCCAGAAAUCCGCAUGGGGUCCCCUGAAGCAUUUUGUAUUUCCAGCAAUCUUGGUCAAUCAUCUCCCCAAGGGUACUUCUACAUCUGAUCACAGAGAUUAAAGAUAACCCGUAAAAGAACAAUCCAGAGGACAAAAAUAUCUGAGAAUAUCAUCUUCAUAAUAAACAAGCUUCCGGGUCCUUCUUUCACCAAACCAAAAGUAAGCUCCCAACAGGAAAUUUAAAAGAAAUCCUACUGUAAACAAACUUUUGAUCAUCACUUUGUAUAUAACCUUCUAUAUUGCUCUGGUUCAUGACCUGUACCUAAACAUCUUCAUUGAAUUUCCAUUGUAAUUGUAUUUUGAACAGGGUAAAAUGAUAGAAAAUUGGUUUAUCUAGAUUUCAACUAACUCUCUUACUGACGGUUAUCUUUUUUUAGUGAAAAACCAUCAUAUAUUGAAGACUCCAGAGAAGGACUUUAAAAAAAUGUCUUCCCUUUGUCACUUUAAAAUGAAAAUACCCAGGGAAAAAUAAAGAGAAAACGUAUUUAUUACAACUGGCUGUUAUAUUAAGUCACACAAAAUGAAAUACUGCACCAUGAGCAGUUCGUUGGUAUUGUAGGUUAUUGGUCAGGUCGAGUUCAGAACGGUAGGGAGGCACCGUAUUAAGACAGCACACCACAUACACAACAUGCAAUCAGCAAGUGCAUUACUUCGGAUAUUUCACACUUCAGUAAAAAUAGGAAAGUCAUGUCAAGGAAAGCGCUGCAAGGAAGUGAAGCUGUCUUUCUUCAAUUUUUAAAAAGUUAUUAGUAAACAAUUAAAUUUAAAGAUCUUCACGGAUACUUUAGCUUGUAGCAGAAAUCCUACAACAUAAAAGUCACUUGAAAGGUUUAUAUUCUUUUACCACUUUCCUAGUUUUAGUUAACUGAAAAAAGAAAAAAGAUCUGCAGAAGGAACCGAAAGUAUCUAAAGGACUAUCACGGGUCAUAUCUAAGGAGAAAAAAAAAAACAAAAAACAACCAGUCAGGGUUGCACAAAACUGCCGAGUAGUUAGCUUUAAGCAGUUAGUCGUUUAGGUAUUUUCACUUCUUUUUUAAAAAUCUGGCUUGUAGGGGUGAGGGAACGGAGUUAGGCACCGCCGGGUAGCUGGGGAGGGUGCUCUUGGUGAGUAUGCAAUCCUAGGGCCAUGGCACCCGACCGGUUCCGGGAAGAAGGGGCCGGGACGAGAGGGGCCGAAGUAAAAAGCGACGCCAGGAGAAACUCACUUUUGAAAGGCACUUUCCGGUUG